rnacentral:rRNA from 1 species
CCUACGGGAGGCAGCAGUGAGGAAUAUUGGUCAAUGGCCGGAAGGCUGAACCAGCCAUGCCGCGUGAAGGUCAGUGCCCUAUGGGCGUUAAACUUCUUUUGUGCGGGAGCAAUAAUGGUCACGUGUGGCCAGACGAGAGUACCGUACGAAUAAGCAUCGGCUAACUACGUGCCAGCAGCCGCGGUAAUACGGGGGAUGCAAGCGUUAUCCGGAUUUAUUGGGUUUAAAGGGUGCGUAGGCUGUGAGGUAAGUCAGCGGUGAAAUGCCCCCGCUCAACGGGGUGAAGUGCCAUUGAUACUGCCUGGCUGGAAUGCGGAUGCCGUGGGAGGAAUGUGUGGUGUAGCGGUGAAAUGCAUAGAUAUCACACAGAACACCGAUUGCGAAGGCAUCUCACGAAUCCGCGAUUGACGCUGAUGCACGAAAGCGUGGGUAUCAAACAGGAUUAGAUACCCGAGUAGUC